rnacentral:lncRNA from 1 species
GGCAAUCAAUCGGGCGACAUACGGGUUCAUGUGUACCCAAAUUUUUUUGUCCAAAUUCUAUAUAUAUAUAUAUUCAAAAUUUACUAAAUAUGUAUAUAUAUAUUUGAAUGUGAGUUCAGGUAUUAUCACAAAUUUAUUGAGGUUAUUUUAUGAACUAAUAAACAUUAAAUUCUAAAUUCGCUUAUGCAUGACCAACGCCAUGUGCUUUGAAUUAAUACAAAGUUUAUAUUGACUUUGGAAAAUAAAAACUCAAUGAUCACUUGAAGCUGUCCUCGUGGUACUGAAGAUAUGCAUGGCCUGGCUAGCUUAUGUCACAUUGAUAGGAUUCCUUUGAAUGUAAACAGUCUGCAAUACCAAUGGGAAAAUGCUGUUCACAUGGACAAACAGUAACAAUAUGUCCACGAAAGAUGGAAAUGACAUGUAAAGACUUCAUCAUUAUCCAAGAACGUUAAGGGUGAUAAUUGUCCCAUCCAAAUUUUACAUUUAAAUUUUCUUGUUAUUGGCAGAUCUAGCUCUCCGUGUGUCGAACUCAAUAGUUUUAAUUUAAAUUUUAUAUUUAUUUUCAAAAAUAUAGUAUUAAAUAUAUAUUAAAUAUUAAUUAAAAUUUAGUAACUUAAAGAAAUAUUCUUAACUCAAAUUUCAAAUCCUGAAUUCGUCUCUAAUUAUUAGUGUUGUAUAAUAGAAAAAAAACUUACUACACUUUCUAGUUCCAAAACAACUGAAAAAUACUUCUGGGAUGCAUGAAAUAUAAGGAUCUUUUACUUCGAUUUGGACAAAAUGCCUCUCUCGUAAAAAAUGUCAAAACCUUAGUCCGUGAAGGCUCUCUCUUUCUAGCAUCAUUACAAAAAUGAAACAUGAGGAAAACAAAAAUAAUGAGUAUUGAUGUUAAGUUGUUAGGCUAGUUUGCUUAAUGGGAAACUAGGGGGUAUUGUGAUAAGCCAAAGGGCUAAAAAUAAUAACAUAUUCAGUAUAAUCUCACGUAGUGAGGUUUGAAAAAGAUAGUAUUAGUAACUUAGUAUAUUGUAUUUGUAAAAUAAUUUAGGAAAUAUAAAUGAAUAUAAAUAAAAAUGAUCAAAACAGAAAUGACAUAAACAGAAAUAACAGAAACAAUUCAAACCCACUAAAUUCACAGUAUUUUCUUAUGGAAUUUAAUUCCCUCCUAGUACCCAAGGUUAUGGAUUAUUUCCUCCCAGUAUAAAACAAAUUAUACAUUGGUGUAGUGGUACUUCAAACCCCAGUGUUUCAGCGAACACAAAGUUCGGUAGCAAAUCACACAUCACACACUUAUUUAAUGGUACUUCAAACUCCGGUGUUUCAGCAAACACAAAGUUCGGUAGCAAAUCACACUUACUUUUUACUUUGUUUGAUGCUAAAAGUAUGUAGAAGAAGGAGAAGAAACUCAGAAAAUCAUAGUGAAAUUCUGAGCAGAAUAGUGUUGUAUUUAUAGCCAAAGUUGGGCUAAAAUUUGAAGAGGUGCAACUCUUCAGAAUGACUGUUUCUGCAAAACGACCACAACAUAAAUUGCUAUUAUAUAAAUGGCUAGUUACAACAAUCAAGAGAGAAAAUAAAGCGGAAAAAUUAAUUAAUUUUCUGUUAGAAAAAGCCUAAAAUUAAAAUUUGGAUAGUUGAAUUGGAUUUAAUAUUAAUAUUUAUUUUAAUAUUAAUAUUCUGUUAUUAAGACAAACAUUUAAUAACAUUUCUGUUAAUAUUUUACUAUUAACAAAUAAAAUUGGUCCAAAAAAUUAAUCAAUCAGUUGACCGAAUUCAAAUUCGAAUCGGAAUCCGAAGCCGAAGCCGAGCCGAGUCGAGCGAGCGAUGAUGACGACGACGCGAGCCUUGCCUUUUUCUCAACUCUUUAAGAGCUAGAAGAAGAGCAACUGCUUAUAUAUCCAUAAAAAACCUCUUACUCUUCCAAUAUGGGACAAAGUUCAUUUGCCGGAAGGGGGGGGGGGGGCUUNNNNNNNNNNNNNNNNNNNNNNNNNNNNNNNNNNNNNNNNNNNNNNNNNNNNAGGGGGGGGGGGGACUUAAAAUUUAUUUCAAAUCCAACAAUCCCCCACAUGAAUGGGAAAUGGCUAUAUCACGGAAAUAUGUACCGAAAACUGUAUGAUUUCCGAGCAAGGAUUAAUUGUAUCUGGAUAAGUAGGUUUCCAUUUAAACUUUCCGUAGUGAACUAAUGUCGGAUAUACUUGAUCAAUCGGUAGAUUGAUAUCUUUGAACCGUCGAACUUUAGUGUAUACCUAGACAAUCACAAUUCACACAACCAACCCUUAACCGUCUUUGGUUCUCAUUGUUGUGUUCGUUUCAGCCAUGAACACCGCCUGGUUUUAUAAGUGUGUAUAGAACCGGCCUUACAAAGCUCUCCGGGGCUAACACUUCACACUUACAUAGGUAGUUCCUAAAUGUGUUAUCCCGUAGAUAUACUAUUUGAUAUACCACGUACCAAAAUUAGAAAUCAUUAAAAAGUCUUAAUGUUUUAUCCUUGGUACCGAACAUUAUCUCAUCAUGAGAAUGGACCAAAAGUUUAGUUGACAAUGUUGAACCGUCAUUAAUGACUUUGUUUGAAUUUCUUGAACCUAGAUCUUGGGAUCUUCAGUCUUCUAGGUAGAGUUACCACCAUUAUGACUUGUUCUCACCCACAGUCUCAUUCCCCUUGAUGACUUCGCAACUACCUCUUUAGUUAAGCCUUUUGUAAGUGGAUCCGACACAUUAUCACUUGAGUUUACAUAGUCAAUCAUGAUUAUUCUUCUAGAGAGUAAUUGUCUAAUGGUUUAUGUCUUCGUCGUAUAUGAUGAGAUUUACCGUUAUACAUAAUACUCUCAGCCCUUCCAAUUGUUGCUUGGCUAUCACAAUGUAUGCAUAUUGGUGCCAACAGUUUGGGCAAAAAUGGAAUAUCUUUCAAGAAAUUUCAGAGCCAUUCAACUUCUUCACCGGCUUUAUCCAAGGCUAUGAACUCAGCCUCCAUUGUAGAGUGGGAAAUAUAAGUUUUUUUGGACGACUUCCAAUCAACCGUUCAUCCACCAAUAGUGAAUACCUAUCUAUUUGUGGACAUGGAAUUAGUCUAUUCGGUGAUCCAAUUUGUAUCACAGUAUCCCUCAAUGACCGCUUGAUAUUUACUGUAGUGCAAAGCAAAGUCCUAGGUAUGUACUAAAUACUCCAAAACUCGUUCCACGACCAUCCAAUGAGAUUGACCUGGAUUGCUCGUAUAUCAACUAAAUUUACUUAUAUCACAUGCUAUAUCUGGUCGUGUACAAUUCAUGAUGUAUAUUAAGUAACCCAACACACGAGCAUAAUCCAAUUGUGAUAUGCUUUGGCCUUCAUUCUUCUUUAAUACAAGAUUCAUGUCAAUUGGAGUCUUUGCAACUUUAAAGCCCAAGUGCUUGAGUUUUUAAAGUACUGUCUUAAUAUAUGAGAUAUUGACAACGCCAUACCUUGAGAAGUCUUAUGGAUCUUAAUUCCUAGAAUUAAAUCAACAGCUCCCAAGUCUUUCAUAUUAAUCUUGCUAGUUAGCAUACGAUUAGUAGCAUUUAUGUUGGUAAUGUUAUUACUCAUUGUCACACCUCCUUUUUCACUACACCUGCGAGGGCAUAAAGGAGUUUUUCCAGAUAACGGACAACCAGAACAAGAUCUAAUUAUUGAAGUUCAGAGUUGUCACUUGAGAGAUUAAUGGUGUCCCAAGUCACCCGUUGAAUCCCGAACUGAGGAAAAAUAUGGCUCUAUUAACAAUCUGCGAACUAGAAAUCCGAGUAAGGAAUUCUGUUAAUCCGGGAGAAGGUGUUAGGCAUUCCCGCGUUCCGUGGUUCUAGCACGGUAGCUUACUGUCACAUUUGAUUUUAUCUGAUUUCAAAAUAUGUUUUUAACUUAUAUGUUUUUUUAAUUUUAAACAACUUUUAUUAUUAUUCUUAUAAGAAUUUCAACGUCAUGAAAAUAUGUCGUGAACUACGUCACAUCAAUGUACCAGUGGUGGUUGACGCAUUACUUUGUUGAGAUUUGGGUUUGGAUCGCAUCAAUGCGCACCCGAGUUUAAGAAGGUAAUGUUAUUUAAAAGCAUGCCUAAAGUGACUAGCACAUUGUUAUUUUGGGGAAGGGCAUAAAAUUCUCUAAACGGCCCAUUCCGAAUCCUAAAUUUUUUUAAUUAAGCAUUGAAUGAGGGCCCUGCAUUUUGCAUUUUAUUUAGCGAGGUUCGUCUCGGUUUUAUUAAAAAUUUAUCCUAAAGCAAACUACAAUUUUUCUAUUUAAUUUGUCUCUAAUAACAAAGAAAUAAUCCUAAUUAAUUAAUACACUUGAAGAGCCUAAAUUCUCAUUAUUCGAUCGCAAAUCAAUUGAACCUCACAAAUAAAGGCGAGGCAUUUCAGGAAUUGGGCCAAAUCAGCCCAGAUUACGUUCACAAAAGGGAGGGACAUUUUGAGCAUGUGAUGAAGGGUAUUUUCAGCUAAAAGCUGAAGGCGGCUGGUGUUUGAGCCCAGUAAGACAAGUUCCAAUGUCAGCCUAUAAUUCUAAUUGGCUGAUUCCUAAGCGUUUUGAAAUUCAAAUCCAUUCAGUUAUGACAUUUCAAUUUUACAUGCAACAUGCGACCCAAAUAACCACUAAUCAUCAUUCAACAGGACAAAGCAAUUUAUUACCCAAGUUAUUUAUGUACUUUUACCUGAUUCCUAUAUCAAAGCAACAGAUGACUAUUUCUAAGAAAUGAGGCUUCAAUGCUUUUAAUGAUUAACAAAUGCAAAUUCAACUACACCACAUAGAACGGCCUAUAAUCUGAUAAUUCGAGUUCCAUGUUUAACAUGAUCACACCUGUUUUAGUGUUCAAUUAUACAGUGAAAAUCUGAAAUCAAUUUCUACACUUGUGCUGUAAUUUUACUGGUUACUAAAUACUAUUACUUUAAGCUACGUAGCAGUUCAACACAAAUGAUAAUAAAAAACAGUCCGAAUUAACCUAAAGCAGUCCUAACUAUCAGUCUGAAUUAUUACAACCCAUUUAGUACAGAAAAUAAGCAAAAAUUUGAACAGCAUCAAUGAACUUAAAGGUUCAAUACACAGAUCAACUAAAUCAAAUCUCAUGCUUCAAUUAUUGUAUAGAUUCAUCCUUCACAUUUCAACUCGCAAUUAUCAAAGUCAAGGAUGAGUACCUGGAAUUUUGAAAUUAAGAGAAGUAGAGGAGGUCAACAACAAUCACGCAACAAGCAGCAGUUGCCAUCAGCAGAAACAAAUAGAACUAAAACCCAAAUCAAGCCAAUACGAGCCAAGAAAAAAGUAACAGAGAAGUAACAAAAAUCAGGAGGCCAAAACACCCUGAUUUGAACCCAAAUUGACUCGAAACCACAAUCAAUAGAUCUCUGAAGUUCAACAAUCAGUAUACCAGUAGCAAUGAACCAACUUUUCUCUUUGAAUUAAUCUGGGAUUCGCAACAACAAUUAACAAGCCAAUGGAACAGUGUUUCCUAUUGAGUUUUGUUGCUUUUAUUUUUGGGUUUUUUUUUUCUGAAAAUCUAAGAUUUAAAAGAGCUUUUGGAUUUUGAUAUUUGAAUUUCAGAUCUAAAAAGCUUGGAGAAUAUUUUUGGGAAUUUUUUGAGGCUCCAAACUUGUGUGUUAAGGUAUUGGCAUGCCCUUUUAUAGGCAAAAAUGAGGGCAGCUCUCAGAUUUUCAGUUUUCAAUC